CCCUUAGAUGUUCGGGGCCGCACGCGCGCUACACUGAAGGAAUCAGCACGUCUUUCUCCUUGUCCGAAAGGACCGGGUAACCCGCUGAACCUCCUUCGUGCUAGGGAUUGGGGCUUGUAAUUCUUCCCCAUGAACGAGGAAUUCCCAGUAAGCGCGAGUCAUAAGCUCGCGUUGAUUACGUCCCUGCCCUUUGUACACACCGCCCGUCGCUACUACCGAUUGGAUGGUUUAGUGAGAUCCUCGGAUUGGUCCCGGAGCGGCCUCUGGUCGUGCCGGAGUGCCGAAAAGAAUGUCGAACUUGAUCAUCUAGAGGAAGUAAAAGUCGUAACA
rnacentral:rRNA from 1 species